rnacentral:lncRNA from 1 species
CUGCAACUUGCAAUUUUUGAUAUGAAUUUUUUUAAUCAUUUGUUUGGGUUAUGGUUCUUGUCGAACUGACCGUCCAUUUUUCUGAUUUCUUUAUCUUCAUUCAUAUCAAGGAAAUAUUGUAGUUUCCAAGUUGAUGUAGAUUCCAAUCUUUUUGUAAUAAUAAGGCAUAAGGAAUUCGAAUCUCUCGAAUGGUGACAAACCGUGAUAUUGAAGAAAAUAUCUCACUAAAAUCAACUCUUGUGAUUUGGUUAUUCUAUAGCCACCAAUCUCCCCAUCCACUUUUAUUACUUGCUGUUCAAAAAAAUAUUUUGAUAGCUCUCUAUGAAACAUUUAUUGUAAAACAA